UGGUUACCAGAAUUGGCUUCCUGACUUCUUCGUCUCCCUUGCACCCAUCUUAGUCAAGCCUUUUGUCCAUCUCUGGCCAAAAACAGUGAUCAAGAGUGGAAGAUGGCUCAGUGUCAAGAGGGUGUGGUGAAGAAACACAAAUCAAGAUUCAUUCGACUGUAAACUCCUACAAUAUGCCACCUGCAUGCCACCUGCCUAGUUGGCUAGCCAAGCCUCAGAAAGCAUGUAAAAGAAAAAUUGCUCGAAUCACGGUUUCUGUCGACCCCCCAAGAUGCUGUCAAUCUGAUUGAAGAGAGAAGCUCUUUGAAUUAUCUCCAAGAUCCACUUGCCACAAAAUGAUUUGGGUAGCAGCAAGAGAUCCUGGAACCCAUCCCCCAUGGAGACCAAAGGGUGAUCGCGAACUUCCUGAAAGAGGGGAGAGAGGGAACGAGAGAGAGAAGAAACUGGUGUCCCCACCCAAGGAAGACACUGAAGGUUCUGCCUGCCUGGAUUCUAAUGGUCAGAUCUCAGCUCAGCUGUCACCACCUCAGAGAUGGCUGCCUAACUGUCCUGACAAGGUG